ACCGGAGCCGCAAACCCACGAUGAACUCACCGUUCUCUUUCCUCAGCCUUGAAAUGAACUUCUUUGGUGGGAUGACGCCAACCUUCUUCUUCUGCGUGGCAAUGCUGUGGAAAAGGUCUGCCAGGCAUGUCAACAGGUUUUCCUUCUUUUUUUGCUGGGCCUUGUAUGCCAACACAUUCUCCCGGAACGGCCGGCAGAAGUACAGCGCUUGAAGCACGGAGUUACAGUAGCAUGUGUUUCCAAACUGCCAAAGCACAAGAGGAGAGGCUGCAAUCAUCGCCCGGGCAUAAGCCACUGCCGGACAGGAGCUGGGAGAGAGGUGCCACCGCUGGACAAGAGGAGGGAGGUGCCACCGCCGGACAGGAGAGGGGAGGGAGGUGCCAGGAUCCCGGAACCUGCCAAUCCCUGCGUUCCCGUAUCAGAGCCCAGCGUGUCUAAUUAGAAAAGACAUGGCCAUGAAGCAGACUGGGAGCCAGUCCAAGUGGUCACUUGCCACAAAGCACACAGUAAGUAGAAGAUAACUUGAAUCCAAGCGACCAGAACAGCAGUACAGCAGGCUCUCCCCUCCCGCUUAGGUUUCUGUGUGAUGGCUCCCUCUCUCUCUGCUCGGCAACAUUCUAGUCUCCUUUACCCACCAUCUGAGAAGACGCAGUGCUCAGAUGGGAGGCAGCUUCAGAACCCUUUCUUCAGAGUUGUGAAAACCAUUGUCUCCACGGCUUUACCACAGCUGACCUUUUGAAAUAACAGAUCAAAUUAUGGCAGGACUUCAUGGAACAGACGAAGAACACCAACAUUUCUUAAUAAAGCUAUUUCUACAUCAUAAACUAGUAU
ensembl:processed_transcript Usp46os2 ubiquitin specific peptidase 46, opposite strand 2